rnacentral:rRNA from 1 species
UCGGCAUACUGCUCAGUAACACGUGGAUAACCUGCCCUAUCGUCUGGAAUAACCUCGGGAAACUGAGAAUAAGGCCGGAUAGUUCACAAUGCCUGGAACGGUUUGUGAAUCAAGGUAGGAUGGGUCUGCGGCGUGUCAGGUUGUAGGGGGUGUAAAGGACCCCCUAGCCUUCGACGCGUACGGGUGUUGGGAGACAUAGCCCGGAGAUGGAUUCUGAGACACGAAUCCAGACCCUACGGGGUGCAGCAGGCGCGAAAACUUCACACUGCAGGAAACUGUGAUGAGGGAACUCCUAGUGCAUGCACUAUGUGUAUGUAGAUCCUACUCUUAACAAGUAGAGGGAAAGGGCUGGGAAAGACCGGUGCCAGCCGCCGCGGUAAUACCGGCAGCUCAAGUGGUCGUCGCUUUUAUUGGGCCUAAAACGUCCGUAGCCUGUUUGGUAAAUCUGUGGGUAAAUCAAUCCGCUCAACGGAUUGAAUUCUGCAGAGACUGCCAGACUAGGGACCGGGAGAGGUGUGGGGUACUCGAGGGGUAGGGGUAAAAUCCUGUCAUCCUUCGAGGACCACCAGUUGCGAAGGCGCCACACUGGAACGGAUCCGACGGUCAGGGACGAAGCCUAGGGGCACGAACCGGAUUAGAUACCCGGGUAGUCCUAGGUGUAAACGCUGUGAACUUGGUGUCGGGGGUCCGCAAGGGGUCCCCGGUGCCGGAGUGAAGAUGUUAAGUUCACUGCCUGGGGAGUACGGUCGCAAGGCUGAAACUUAAAGGAAUUGGCGGGGGAGCACUGCAACGGAGGAGCGUGCGGUUUAAUU